rnacentral:misc_RNA from 1 species
GUUAUCAUGUUCACAGCUGUGCAAUACUACAGUCAAAGAUGCACGACACGACACUGGUUGUACACACAGCAGGAGAAGAAACAAAACUCCUGCCCUUUCUUUUAUUUUAGCCGAGAUCAGGGACGAUGAGGUGGUCCUCGUCGUCGGUGACCUCGGUCCGGGCCUUCUUGCUCUGGCGCACCCCGGCGCCGGCAGUGGCAGUGGCUUUGGCUGGCCUGUAGUACGCCGCGUCGUUCGCGGCCUGGGUUCCGGAAAGCUCCGGUACCUCAGCCAAUCUCCUGCCGGCUUUCGGCGUCUGCUCGUGGAAGAGGUCGAUGUCGGUGAACCACUCCAGCUCCUUGAACCCGAGCGGGGACUCCUUGUGCAGCUGCAAAACACACACACACACAAGACCAUGCAUGAGACGGUGGGUGCACGCAGGCAGGUUGUUGGUCAUGGACCGGAGCUUGCGCUAUCGUCUUGCCUUGUCGCUGGACUCGCAGUCGGAGAACUGCAGGAGCUCGUCGACGGCCCAGCCCUGUGGCAGGAACUGCGGCGGCGAGGGCACCUGCUGCGCCGCGGAGGAGACGGCGGCCUUGGGCGGGGCGUGGUGGUCGGAGUCGUCGUGGGCGUCGCAGGCGUCACUGCACGCUGACGAAGCGGAGGCGAAGCCGACGCGGAUGUCGGUGGCGAGGUAGCGCUGGUGGUUCCCGGAGAGCGUGCCCGGGACGUGGAUGGGCUCGUCGCAGUCCCGGCAGAAGAGCGCCCGGUCCUCCACGCAGAAGAUGAACGCCGCUUUCUCCUGCGAGCGCGCGCGGGGCGGGGUGGUGGCCUCGUUGUUAGCUCGUGCCUGCCUGCCUUGUGCCGCGUGUGGCGCAUGCGCAAUGCGCUGGUGAUGUACGUACCUGGC